UUGGAGGGCAAGUCUGGUGCCAGCAGCCGCGGUAAUUCCAGCUCCAAUAGCGUAUAUUAAAGUUGUUGCAGUUAAAAAGCUCGUAGUUGAAUUUCGGGGUCAGUAGGCUGGUCGUGCCACGGGUAUGUACUGGUCUUACUGAUUCCUCCUUCCUGAUGAACCGUAAUGCCAUUAAUUUGGUGUUGCGGGGAAUCUGGACUGUUACUUUGAAAAAAUUAGAGUGUUUAAAGCAGGCUAACGCUUGAAUACAUUAGCAUGGAAUAAUGAAAUAGGACGAUCGAUCCUAUUUUGUUGGUUUCUAGGAUUGACGUAAUGAUUAAUAGGGAUAGUUGGGGGCAUUAGUAUUCAAUUGUCAGAGGUGAAAUUCUUGGAUUUAUUGAAGACUAACUACUGCGAAAGCAUUUGCCAAGGAUGUUUUCAUUAAUCAAGAACGAAAGUUAGGGGAUCGAAGACGAUCAGAUACCGUCGUAGUCUUAACCAUAAACUAUGCCGACUAGGGAUCGGAUGAUGUUAAUUUUUUAAUGACUCAUUCGGCGCCUUACGGGAAA
rnacentral:rRNA from 1 species